GUGAGAGGCGAAGACGAGAGUGGAGAAGAGGAGCAGAAAGGAGAAGGGAGAGGAGAUAGGAGAGGGGAGAAGGAGAGGAGAUAGGAGACGAUAGGAAUGGAAGGGGAGGGGGGAGGAGAGGCGAAGACGAGAGGAGUGGAGAAGAGGAGCAGAAAGGAGAAGGGAGAGGAGAUAGGAGAGGGGAGAAGGAGAGGACAUAGGAGACGAUAGGAAUGGAAGGGGAGGGGGAGGAGAGGCGAAGACGAGAGGAGUGGAGAAGGGAGAGGAGAUAGGAGAGGAUAGGAAUGGAAGGGGAGGGGGGAGGAGAUAGGAGACGAUAGGAAUGGAAGAGGAGGGUGGAAGAGAGCAGAGCAGAACAGCCGAGAGGAGAGGAGUUCCCCAGUCAAGCCAGCCAGAGGAAAGUUCUGGUUUGAAUUAGAGAAUAAGCAGCACUGAGAAGGAGGGAAUGAUGACACUUUAUUAGAGCAGCUGCUCAGAACGGUAUGAUGGAGUUCAGUAUGAUGGGGUUCAGUAUGAUGGAGUUCAGUAUGAUGCUGUUCAGUAUGAUGGAGUUCAGUAUGAUGGGGCUCAGUAUGAUGGGGUUCAGUGGGAUGGGUUCAGUGGGAUGGUGUUCAGUGUGAUGGAGUUCAGUAUGACAGGGCUCUGUAUGAUGGGGUUCAGUGUGAUGGGGUUCAGUAUGAUGGGGUUCAGUGUGAUGGGGUUCAGUAUGAUGGUGUUCAGUAUGAUGGAGUUCAGUAUGAUGGUGUUCAGUGUGAUGGAGUUCAGUAUGAUGGGGUUCAGUAUGAUGGGGUUCAGUGGGAUGGUGUUCAGUGUGAUGGGGUUCAGUGGGAUGGGGUUCAGUAUGAUGGAGUUCAGUGGGAUGGUGUUCAGUAUGAUGGGGUUCAGUGUGAUGGGGUUCAGUAUGAUGGGGUUCAGUGGGAUGGGGUUCAGUAUGAUGGGGUUCAGUGGGAUGGGGUUCAGUGGGAUGGGGUUCAGUGUGAUGGGGUUCAGUAUGAUGGGGUUCAGUGGGAUGGGGUUCAGUGGGAUGGGGUUCAGUGGGAUGGGGUUCAGUGGGAUGGGGUUCAGUGUGAUGGGGUUCAGUGGGAUGGGGUUCAGUGGGAUGGGGUUCAGUGGGAUGGGGUUCAGUAUGAUGGAUUUCAGUAUGAUGGGGUUCAGUGGGAUGGGGUUCAGUGGGAUGGG
ensembl:lncRNA